rnacentral:rRNA from 1 species
CAUUACCGAGUUAUACAACUCCCAAACCCCAUGUGAACCUUACCGAAUGUUGCUUCGGCGGGACCGCCCCGGUGCCUCAGCUGCCCGGAACCAGGCGCCCGCCGGAGGCCUUCAAACUCUUGUUUUUUUGGUGGCAUUAUCUGAGUGGCGAAAGCAAAUAAAAUCAAAACUCUGAACAACGGAUCUCUUGGUUCUGGCAUCGAUGAAGAACGCAGCGAAAUGCGAUAAGUAAUGUGAAUUGCAGAAUUCAGUGAAUCAUCGAAUCUUUGAACGCACAUUGCGCCCGCUAGUAUUCUAGCGGGCAUGCCUGUUCGAGCGUCAUUUCAACCCUCAAGCCCCCAUUAGGCUUGGUGUUGGGGAUCGGCCGCUGCGGCUCUCGUCGCUGGCGGCCGGCCCCGAAAUAUAGUGGCGGUCUCGCUGUAGCCUCCUCUGCGUAGUAGAAACACCUCGCUCUGGAACGCAGCGUGGCCACGCCGUAAAACCCCCAAGUUUUACUGAAGGUUGACCUCGGAUCAGGUAGGAAUACCCGCUGAACUUAAGCAUAUCAAUAAGCGGAGGAAAAGAAACCAACAGGGAUUGCCCUAGUAACGGCGAGUGAAGCGGCAACAGCUCAAAUUUGAAAUCUGGCCGCAAGGCCCGAGUUGUAAUUUGUAGAGGAUGCUUUGGGCGCGGCGCCUUCCGAGUUCCCUGGAACGGGACGCCAUAGAGGGUGAGAGCCCCGUCUGGUUGGAUGCCUAGCCUAUGUAAAGCUCCUUCGACGAGUCGAGUAGUUUGGGAAUGCUGCUCAAAAUGGGAGGUAUAUGUCUUCUAAAGCUAAAUACCGGCCAGAGACCGAUAGCGCACAAGUAGAGUGAUCGAAAGAUGAAAAGCACUUUGAAAAGAGGGUUAAAUAGUACGUGAAAUUGUUCAGAGGGAAGCGUUUCUGACCAGACUUGGGCUCGGUGAAUCAUCCAGCGUUCUCGCUGGUGCACUUUGCCGGUCCAGGCCAACAUCAGUUCGUCGCGGGGGAUAAAGGCUUCGGGAAAGUGGCCCCCUCGGGGGUGUUAUAGACCGUUGUGCAAUACCCUGCGAUGGACUGAGGUUCGCGCUCCGCAAG